rnacentral:snRNA from 1 species
AAGCUCGUUUGAUUCUGAUUUUCAGU